GAAUAUAGAUCCAACCCAUGAAACUCCAACAACUCUGUACUUUUUUAAUACACAACCCAUAUACCAAGGGUAGACCUCCAGCUACCCCUUUUGACAGUCAUGUGACUGCUCUUCUUUCAAGAUUCAAGAACUCAAGUGUCUUGAUGCUCUCUAACCCUCUCUUUCAACAACGAUUUGAGGCUUAGAAUUCUUAAUACUGGAAUUUUCUGCAGCUCUGUUGGUGUCAAUCUGAAGUAGCUUUUAACUGUUUCUUCCCAACUAAAGUCAGGCUUUCUUUGAAUCAAUCUGCCGAAGCGUUUGACUGUAUUUCUUAAAAAAAAGCUAGGCAAGCAUUUGAGGUUCAAAACUCUUAUAUACUAGCUUUUCCUGCUCUCUAAAUUGAUGGAUUAGUACCGCUUAGUGUCUGAUCAAAGAAACCCGUAAAAAGAGAGAGUUGUAUGCGGUAUUUGCUUCAAAAAAUGAAAAAAAUGGUUUUUCCAAAAACUCUGUUUCAAUCAAACUUCACUAAUGAAAAGAUUUUGAGUUUGUGAAGAAGUCUUUUGUCCUAUAGUUGGUGUGAGAAAUGGCUUACGCAGAUGUGGUUUCUCUCAUUCAAACUUUGAAGCAACUUAUGCAGCAAAAGCCACGUUGGGUUAUUGGUGAUACUAGAAAAAUGGUGGAAUCUCUCCUUGAUAGUGUUGGAUAUUUCCAAAAUUUUCUUGAGAAGAUUUACUUGAGAAGGCAAGUCUUUGGAAAAUCUGAAGAGUUGGAGAGAGCGAUUAGAAUUGCAGUGAACGACAUAGAGAAUGUGAUUGAACUGGAGAUAUAUGAAUAUAAUCAACUGGAGCUCUGUUCAAGAGUGGCAUUGCCACGCCAGCCUUUAUGUGACGACUUGCCUCCCCUCGUAGAAAAGAUUGAUACUGUGAAGAGGAAGACGAUGAAAAAUAGUUUUGCUACAAAUGAGGAUCUGCAACUGGGAGAUUCAUUGGUAGGUCAUUCAUCAUCUAGACGUGUUGAAAAUCUGAAUCUAGAAAAUGUUGUCGUGGGUCUUGAAGACGACUUGAUGAAAAUCAUGAGAAGACUAAUAGGGCCCCCCUCUAGUCGAGAAAUUGUCUCAAUUUUGGGCAUGGGGGGGAUUGGCAAGACGACUCUUGCUAAGAAAGCAUACCAUCAUCCUGAAAUCAGGAGUCGCUUUGACAUCCAUGUUUGGGUAACAAUAUCUCAAGAAUAUCUCACUAGAGAUUUGUGGCUGGGCAUUCUUUCCUGUAUUUCUCAGCUGAAAAAUGAGGUUCAAGAUGAGACUUAUCGGUUGGCGGUGAGAGAUGAGAUUAAUGAAAGUAGUGAUGAUCAGCUGAUGCAUAUGAUAUACAAAAAGUUAAUGCGUCGGAGGUAUCUUGUUAUCAUGGAUGAUAUUUGGAGUAAAGACAUAUGGGAUCUUAUGACAAGAAUUUUUCCAGAUGAUAACAAUGGGAGUCGCAUUAUUUUGACUAGCAGGCACAAAGAGGUUGCUGAGCAUGCAGAUCCUGAUAGCAAUCCUCAUGAGAUGAGCCUAUUGAAUACAGAUAAUAGUUGGAAGUUACUUCAUGACAAGGUGUUUGGGGUAGAACAUGCAUGUCCUCCUGAAUUAGAGGAUAUUGGAAAGCAAGUAGCGCAAAAGUGCCAAGGACUACCUUUAGCUCUUCUAGUGGUUGCAGGGCAUCUCUCCAAAAUUUCUAGAACACGCGAAUGUUGGGAUGAUGUUGCCAAAACUAUUAGUAAAAUUGUUGCUAGUGAGCCAGAUAAAUGUCUUGGAGUGCUUGGAAUGAGUUAUAGUUACUUGCCUAAUCACCUAAAAGCAUGCUUCCUUUCUAUGGGAGCAUUCCCAGAAGAUUUUGAGGUUUCCACUGAGAGACUAAUCCAGUUAUGGGUUGCUGAAGGUAUUCUAAGGAAUGAAAGGCUCAAAAGCUUGGAAGAAACGGGAAAACAGUCCUUGGAAGAUCUUAUUAGUAGGAACCUGAUAAUAGUUAGAAAAAGGAGAUUUAAUGGAGAGAUGAAAACAUGUGGAAUUCAUGAUCUGGUGCGCGACUUGAUUCUAAGACAAGCUGAGAAAGAGAAGUUCUUGCAGGUUACAAGGAAGCAUGAUGUCAUCAGAAGAUUCAAUGAUUCAGCUAGUAAGCCUCAUGUUUAUCGCUACAGUUCACAUUCAAGGAUUUCUCACGGGGAUUGCUGGAAGUCGACAUCUAGUCUGACCCGAACAUUGUACUUAUUCAACGGACUAAAACUUGCUCCGCCUCCUUCUAAACAAAUACCUUUUUUGGCACGCUUCAAACUUCUAAGAGUGUUGGCAAUCCUUCAAUAUACGUUUCGAGAAUUCCCUCUUGACAUAACCAAAUUAGUACAUCUCAGAUAUCUUGAAUUCAAUUGUAAUGAUGAUCUUCAUUGUUCAGUGUCAAAGCUUUAUAAUCUGCAACAUUUGAUUUUUGGCGGACAGUCCAAUUUACCAGUAGAGAUCUGGAAGAUGAAACCUUUGAGGCAUCUUGAGGUAAAAAAGAUCGCUUCUUUUUGUGUUCCAUCAAGUAAGGCAGUGUCUAGUUUCAUGUUACAAAAUCUUGAGGGACUUUCAGAUCUAAGUAUUUCCUGCUGUACUAAGGAAUUGUUUACUGGUAUUCCUAAUCUAAAGAGGCUGAAAAUUCAUGGGGCUUGGGCAGAAUGCAGCAGAGAUAUGAUCUCCCAGACGCUAAAUAGCCUUUCUUGUUUAAAUCAAGUUGAAAUAUUGAAGAUCGCAUGCUCCAGAAAAUUAUACCCACACCCACUCCCAAGUAAGUAUGCUUUGCCUACAUCCCUGAAGAGGUUGACAUUAAGAUGUACCUAUUUACCAUGGGAAGACAUGGCAAAUAUUGUAAUGUUGCCAAACCUCGAAGUGCUUAAAAUUAAAGACAAUGGAUUUGAUGGUGAUGUGUGGAGAUUAAGUGAUGAAGAGACUUUCAAUCAACUUAAGUUCCUCCUAAUCGAUAGGACAAAUCUGAAGCGCUGGGAAGCUGGCAGUGUUAACUUCCCAAAGCUGCAACACCUGGUUCUGAAAAGAUGCAUAUACCUUGAGGAAAUCCCUAAAGACAUACGGGAAAUUUAUACCUUGGAGUCAAUAGAGUUGCUUAAUUGCCGAACUUCUGCUGCGAAAUCCGUCAAAGAAAUUAAAGAAGAGCAAGAGAGCAUGGCAAAUGAUUGCCUUAGUGUCUGCAUCCAUGAGAAACCUUGUAAAACGACUCUUGCAAAAAUGGCAUAUGAUGAUCCUGAUAUCCGGGAUCGCUUUGACAUGCAUGUUUGGGUGACAAUAUCUCAAGAGUACAGAAUUCGAGAUUUGUUAUUAGGCAUUCUUUGUUAUAAUUCAAAUGAGAUCAAAGAAGAGACUGAUGAUCAAUUGAUGGAUAUGAUAUACAAAAAGUUAAAGGGUCGGAGUUAUCUUGUUGUCAUGGACGAUAUUUGGAGUAACGACGUCUGGGAUCUUAUGUCAAGAAAUUUUCCGGAUGAUAACAAGGGGAGUCGAAUUAUUCUGACUAGUAGGCUCAAAGGCCAAUACAUGCUGACCCUGACAGCCCGCCUCAUGAGGUAAGCCUCUUGAAUGCAAAUGACAGUUGGAAGUUACUUCAUGAGAAGGUGUUUGGGACACAACAGGUUUGUCCUCUUGAACUAGAGGAUAUUGGGAAGCAAGUAGCACAAAGAUGCCAAGGACUACCUUUAGCUAUUCUAGUGGUUUCGGGGCACCUUUCUAAAAUUGAAAGAACAAGAGAAAGUUGGGAAGAUGUUGCCAAAAGUGUAAGUAAAGUUGUUGCUAAUGAAUCAGAUAAAUGUCUAGGAGUGCUUGCUAUGAGUUACAAUUACUUACCUAAUCAUCUUAAACCAUGUUUCCUUUAUGUGGGAAUCUUUCCAGAAGAUAGUGAGGUAAACAUUAGGACAUUGAUAAACUUAUGGGUUUCUGAGGGUUUUCUAUGGGAAGAAUUAGGGGGAAGAGAUUGUUUGGAGGAUCUUGUUAGCAGGAAUCUGAUAAUGGUUAGAAACAGGAGAUUUAAUGGUGAGUGGAAAACAUGUGGUGUCCAUGAUCUAGUUCGUGACUUAAUUUUAAGAGAAGCUGAGAAAUAGAAGUUCCUGCAGGUUUGUAAAGAUCCUUAAGCAAAAAUGCUUCGUGUUCGUCGCUACAGUUUCCAUUCAGGCCUUUAUCAGGCUGAUUGCUUGGAGUCAUCAUCAAGAGAUCUCACCCGAACUGUGCACUUCUUCCAUGGAUUAUGUUUCAAACAAAUUCCUCUUUUGGCGUGCUUCAAACUGCUAAGAGUGUUGGCAGUCGUCCAAUAUGGGUUUCAAGAUUUCCCUCUCGUGAUAACAAAAUUAGUACAUCCGAGAUACCUUCAAUUAGGCUAUUGUGAUGAUCCUCACGGUUCAUUGUCAGAGCUUUAUAAUCUGCAGAACAUCAUUGUUCAAAGCCUGCGUAAUAAACCAACUAUGCAUGACACAAUUUGGUGAAUGAAACAUUUAAGGCAUCUUCUGGUGAAUGACUUAAUUUCUCUCCCUAAAACUCCAUCAAAUAAGCUGCAAAAUUUGGAGGGACUUUCCUGUCUAAGCUUGUCCAGGUGUACUUUUGAAUUGUUUUCUGCUAUUCCAAAUCUUAAGAGGCUUAAACUUCUUGGAAGUCAGAAGGAAUGCCAGGGUGAGAAGAUGUCCGAGCACCUAUAGCCUUUCCUGUUUAAAAAACUUGACGAAUUGAAGAUCAGGUGCAAAGGCCUAUACUUGUUCCCAAUCCCAUUAGAGGAGCUGAUCGUGCAAAUUAAAGGAAUGUGGGGUGGGUGUGAUGACUCUCAAGCAGUGGGAAGCAAUUUAUCACCCUUUGUUUGCUUAGAAGCGGAGAUCACUUGUAACUUGUUCCUUAUGAUGACUAGUUAUUGUUCUUUAUUUUUGUAAUUUUCUCUCAAGCUAGAUAUUAAUGACUGAAUGGUUUGUUAUCAUGAUGUAUUUCAUUAUGUUAUAAUUCUCAAUUUGAGUGAAUAUUUUAUGACUUUCUUACUA